rnacentral:tRNA from 2 species
GGGUCGUUAGCUCAGUCGGUAGAGCAGCGGACUUUUAAUCCGUUGGCCGAAGGUUCGAAUCCUUCACGACCCA